AUCUAGCUGAUGAGUCCCAAAUAGGAUGAAAUGUACGUUCUAGAU
rfam:Schistosoma curassoni strain Dakar, Senegal genome assembly, scaffold: SCTD_scaffold0005387